rnacentral:rRNA from 1 species
CCUACGGGAGACAGCAGUGAGGAAUAUUGGUCAAUGGGCGCGAGCCUGAACCAGCCAAGUAGCGUGAAGGAUGAAUGCCCUACGGGUUGUAAACUUCUUUUAUAAAGGAAUAAAGUGAGGCACGUGUGCCUUUUUGUAUGUACUUUAUGAAUAAGGAUCGGCUAACUCCGUGCCAGCAGCCGCGGUAAUACGGAGGAUCCGAGCGUUGUCCGGAUUUGUUGGGUUUAAAGGGAGCGUAGAUGGGUUGUUAAGUCAGUUGUGAAGGUUUGCGGCUCAACCGGAAAAUUGCAAUUGAUACUGGCAGCCUUGAGUACAGUUGAGGUAGGCGGAAUUCGAGGUGUAGCGGUGAAAUGCUUAGAUAUCACGAAGAACUCCGAUGGCGAAGGCAGCUUACUAAACUGCGACUGACAUUGAUGCGCGAAAGUGUGGGUAUCAAACAGGAUUAGAUACCCCUGUAGUC